rnacentral:rRNA from 1 species
GACGAACGCUGGCGGCGUGCUUAACACAUGCAAGUCGAACGGAAAGGCCCUGCUUUUGUGGGGUGCUCGAGUGGCGAACGGGUGAGUAACACGUGAGUAACCUGCCCUUGACUUUGGGAUAACUUCAGGGAACUGGGGCUAAUACCGGAUAGGAGCUCCUGCUGCAUGGUGGGGGUUGGAAAGUUUCGGCGGUUGGGGAUGGACUCGCGGCUUAUCAGCUUGUUGGUGGGGUAGUGGCUUACCAAGGCUUUGACGGGUAGCCGGCCUGAGAGGGUGACCGGCCACAUUGGGACUGAGAUACGGCCCAGACUCCUACGGGAGGCAGCAGUGGGGAAUAUUGCACAAUGGGCGGAAGCCUGGUGCAGCAACGCCGCGUGCGGGAUGACGGCCUUCGGGUUGUAAACCGCUUUCGCCUGUGACGAAGCGUGAGUGACGGUAAUGGGUAAAGAAGCACCGGCUAACUACGUG